CCUACGGGAGGCUGCAGUGGGGAAUAUUGGACAAUGGGGGGAACCCUGAUCCAGCCAUGCCGCGUGUGUGAAGAAGGCCCUCGGGUUGUAAAGCACUUUCAGUGAGGAAGAACGCCUGGUGGUUAAUACCCAUCAGGAAAGACAUCACUCACAGAAGAAGCACCGGCUAACUCCGUGCCAGCAGCCGCGGUAAUACGGAGGGUGCGAGCGUUAAUCGGAAUUACUGGGCGUAAAGCGCGCGUAGGUGGCUUGAUAAGCCGGUUGUGAAAGCCCCGGGCUCAACCUGGGAACGGCAUCCGGAACUGUCAAGCUAGAGUGCAGGAGAGGAAGGUAGAAUUCCCGGUGUAGCGGUGAAAUGCGUAGAGAUCGGGAGGAAUACCAGUGGCGAAGGCGGCCUUCUGGACUGACACUGACACUGAGGUGCAAAAGCGUGGGUAGCAAACAGGAUUAGAUACCCCAGUAGUC
rnacentral:rRNA from 1 species